GACGGCCUGGAUAGAAGCCCUAGCCGGAGCUCGAUACCUGUUUGAUGAUGGGCGAGAUGACGGCCAUUCUCCUCUCGGCUGCUGGCAGUCGGCGCCCCAGUCGAGCAUCAUCCGGUUCCAGGAUGUCGUGUCUUUUGGUAUUCCAGGAUCAAACAUGACCAUUCUUCUCAUGUUGUCUACUGCAUCAUUCUUGUGCUGGUCAUUCCCAUCCCAAGUAUUGUGGCUAAUGUUGGUGAUAGUCUUGAAACUCUCCAUAGUUGCAUUAUUUGCAUUCUGUGAUAGUUUUUAUAUCGAAGUGUGAGGACAAAGCAAGCUCUUUUUUCUUUUUAAAAUUUAGUAUACUUUUGAACCUUCAUGCUUAUCUCAGGAAGCUUUGCCUCUGCUUUCAGCUGCAAGGUAUUUUGACUGACUUUUGCUUUGUGGCUUUGUCCUGGAGGCAUAUAUUGAAGAUUUCAGGGGGAUAUCAUGUCCUGAGUUAUCUUCUGGUUGACUUAGGAUAUCAUACUACCUUACAUAUUCAAAUAAAUAUGAUUGCAUAAUAUCAUUUUGUUUUUUGAUAUGGUGUGGGUCUGGAAUAGUAUGGAUUAUAUCAGACACAGAUCUGAUAAUGACUAGAUAUUGCUUAAGUUUGUUUUGAUUCGCAGCAGGUAGGUUUAUAGCACGUUUUUUAACCUGUUAUACAUGAGACCGAAGUAGGAGAUAUAAUAGAUAAGUACUUGUGUUGAUAGUUUGAUAGUAUAGACUCGUACAGACUUUAAAGGAUUUCUGUUUGGAUAGUAUAAAUAAUAUAGAUGUGUAUGAACUUGAAAGGAGUAUCUCGACCAUGCCAUGUAGACCUCUUGUUGUUUUACAUGUUAUUUUUUAAACUAUAGCCUUAGAGGUGGUUAGACACAAAUAAAAAGAGGAAGAAGAAGAAGAAUACCUUGAGGGGUCAAACUAAAUACGACAAAGAACAGCUUUUUUGACCAAAUUGGAAGGGGAAACUAAGGCAAAAUUGCAUAUAUAUAUAUAUAUAUAUAUAUAUCAAUCAAACAUUAAAACUUUAGUAAUUCCACAUCAUUCAUUUGUUGUGUGUCAGUUUGUUUAUGUGAUUGACUCCCUCUGACUUUUGACUCCUCAUCUCAGUAGGGGUUUCCAUAUUUGAAAGACACCUUGUUUGUUCACAGUUAUGGAAGAUGACUGACUCAUCAUAUUGAACUGGAUUUUAGGAUGACUGCUGUGAGUUUAUGUAUACUAUUUUAUUAGUACUAGGAUUAUAUCACUGAUCACUGCUUUGAUGUUCACUUAUAAUAUCUUGUUUCUGUUGUGGCAAUUCUUCGACAUCAAACAUAAUUUGUAUCUGGAUCAAUUUUAGAGGUAUCUUCACUACCAAAGGAGGGACACAUACCAGUUGAGCAACCACGGAUCUUGAUUCACAGCCAACCAUGGAAGAAACUAUCCUACUAGGUGAUGACCUUAUGCUGGGGCUUCCUUCACCUAUCAUCCCCCCUGAGAUCGCAUCUCAUGUUCUUGAAGGUGUUGACUUAUGUGAUGGAGUUUUAAGGAAUCUUUUCUUAUUAAAGUGAUGGCAGAUCAUCUCAUAUGACUCUAUAGUGGCGAGUGCUACGGGCCAUCUUGUCUCCAAAGAACUAUGAUUGCUAUCAAGUCGGUGAUCUUUAUUUUGGAAAUAAAAGGGAAAGUCAUUUAGUAAAUGCCUUCGGCUUGAAAUCAACAAUAUCGAGCCAUUUUGCCAAGAUGAGAUUGUCUUGUAUCAACAGUGUGCUGAGAAAAGGGUCAGUCACAUUUAUGUAUUUUUGUGUUUUACGGAAAUUGGACUGGUUUUUGCAACUUUCUACUUGGCUUGUCAAUUUGGAUUGAAAUGCUAACAGGAUAAGUAGUUAAGACAGAGGCUCUUACAUAGUGAGCAUAAGUUGGGGUUGUCCAUGCCCUUUACUGCAGCAAAGGAAAGAGCUGCUGAACUCCAAUUGGAGGUUACAUCUUUGGAAAGAAGAAGAUUGGAAGCUUUAAACUGGGGAAUUGUGAAAAGGAAACCUGGCAACAUCCAAGGAGAGCCUAAACGAGAUGCAGUUAGGAAGAAAUGGAUUUUUUGGUAGAUUUGUUUGUGUUCUUGUGAUUUCUGGAACUUGCAAUAAAUAAUAUUGCUUGGAAGAUGACUGAUACCCUCAAUCAAAAUAGAGGAUGAUUACAAGAAAAGGGCAAAGUAACAAUGGGUGGUCUCUAUGGUUCUUAUUUACCUUUACCUUGGAUUUUGGA